rnacentral:Y_RNA from 1 species
GGCUGGUCCAAAAUCAGGGAGUUAUCUCAACUAAUUGUUCACAGUCAAUUACAGAUUGAACUCCUUGUUCUACUCUUUCCUCCUUCUCACUAUUGCACUUGACUAGUCUUAA